rnacentral:rRNA from 1 species
UGGGGAAUAUUGGGCAAUGGGCGCAAGCCUGACCCAGCAAUGCCGCGUGUGUGAAGAAGGCCUGAGGGUUGUAAAGCACUUUCAAUUGGGAGGAACACCUAUUGGCUAAUACCCGAUAGACUGACAUUACCUUUAGAAGAAGCACCGGCUAACUCCGUGCCAGCAGCCGCGGUAAUACGGAGGGUGCAAGCGUUAAUCGGAAUUACUGGGCGUAAAGCGUGCGUAGGCGGUUGGUUAAGUUAGAUGUGAAAGCCCCGGGCUUAACCUGGGAACUGCAUUUAAAACUGGCCAACUAGAGUUGAGUAGAGGAGAGUGGAAUUUCAGGUGUAGCGGUGAAAUGCGUAGAGAUCUGAAGGAACACCAGUGGCGAAGGCGACUCUCUGGACUCAAACUGACGCUGAGGUACGAAAGCGUGGGUAGCAAACA